CGCAGGGUCACCGAUCUCUUUCUGUACGGUGUGACGGACUACUCCGACGAGCAGAUCAAUGUUUUCGAUGACGUCUUUCAUUGUCUGAUCGAAGAAAUCGAGACUUCGGCCAAGGCCCUGCUGGCGAAACGCAUGGCGCCAGUGCCGAAAGCGCCCCCGCGCCUGAUUUACACACUUGCCUUCGACGACGAGAUCGAGGUU
rnacentral:misc_RNA from 1 species